AUUGAACGCUGGCGGCAGGCCUAACCCAUGCGAGUCUCAAGAGUGGCGGACGGGUGAGUAAUGUCUGAGCAACUGACUGAUGGAGGGGAAUAACUCCUGGAAACUGUAGCUAAUAAAGCAUAACAACAGAGGUGUCCAGAUGGGAUGAGCUUGUUGGGGGGGGAACGGCUCACCAAGGCGACGAUACCUAGCUGGUCGGAGAGGAUGACCAGCCACACUGGAACUGAGACACGGUCCAGACUCCUACGUGAGGCAGCAGUGGGGAAUAUUGCACAAUGGGCGCAAGCCUGAUGCAUCCAUGCCGCGUGAAUGAAGAAGGCCUUCGGGUUGUAAAGGUCUUUCAGCGGGGAGGCGUUACCCGCAGAAGAAGCACCGGCUAACUCCGUGCCAGCAGCCGCGGUAAUUC
rnacentral:rRNA from 1 species